GAGGAAGCUUGCUUUCUCCGCCGGCGACCGGCGCACGGGUGAGUAACACGUAUGCAACCUGCCCCUGUCAGGGGGACAACCCGCCGAAAGGCGGGCUAAACCCGCGUACAUGCCACCGGGGCAUCCCGGAGGCAGGAAAGGCUUCGGCCGGACAGGGAUGGGCAUGCGGCGCAUUAGGCAGUAGGCGGGGUAACGGCCCACCUAACCGACGAUGCGUAGGGGUUCUGAGAGGAAGGUCCCCCACACUGGUACUGAGACACGGACCAGACUCCUACGGGAGGCAGCAGUGAGGAAUAUUGGUCAAUGGUCGGGAGACUGAACCAGCCAAGCCGCGUGAGGGAUGAAGGUACAGAGUAUCGUAAACCUCUUUUGUCAGGGAACAAAGGCGGGGACGCGUCCCCGGAUGAGUGUACCUGAAGAAAAAGCAUCGGCUAACUCCGUGCCAGCAGCCGCGGUAAUACGGAGGAUGCGAGCGUUAUCCGGAUUUAUUGGGUUUAAAGGGUGCGCAGGCGGUCUGUUAAGUCAGCGGUCAAAGCCCGGGGCUCAACCCCGGCCCGCCGUUGAAACUGGCAGUCUCGAGUUGGAGAGAAGUAUGCGGAAUGCGCGGUGUAGCGGUGAAAUGCAUAGAUAUCGCGCAGAACUCCGAUUGCGAAGGCAGCAUGCCGGCUCCACACUGACGCUGAGGCACGAAAGCGUGGGUAUCGAACAGGAUUAGAUACCCUGGUAGUCCACGCAGUAAACGAUGAAUGCUGGCUGUCCGGGGGGACUGACCCCU
rnacentral:rRNA from 1 species